GGUACUGCAGAGGCUCAUUUGGGAGGUGUUAAGGUAGGUGUGAACCAGGGUGGUGCAAAUGGUUAAGCGCUCAAUUUACUAGCCAGAAGAUUGGUGGUUCGAGCCCACCCAGUGGUGACUUGGAAGUUAGUCCUGGCGAUCUGCUUCCAAAAGGUCACAGCCUUGAAAACCCUGUGAAGCAGUUCUACUCUGACACUCAUGGGGUCACCAUGAGUCAGAACCAACUUGACAACUAACAACAGCUACAAGGUAGGCAUGGAGCAGGUAUUUGGAAGAGUGCCUGGGUGUGCCCUUGGCCACCGCCCCCUGUCUAACCCUGCCCUCCCUUUCAGUGAAUCCAGUGUGUCUGGAUGUGGCUUACUCCCAGGUCUGGAUCAUCGAUCAGGGACCGGAGGAUGCAGAACAUCCACAAACACGUCCAGAGAGCAUGGAUUCCUCCGUCGUCUAUGCUGAGGUGGUGAGGGAGGCCAUAGAAGCCCUCAGCUAAGCAGAGAUGAAAAGGACAGAGAAGGAGCUACAGUAAGUAAGAAAAUGUUGUGGGCCCUUGGUUCUCCAGGACCUGGAUCAGGCUACCUGUGUGCUUCUCCUACAAGAGCACCUAUUUCAAGGGAAAGAAGGAUUAUCUGCCAGGCACUCCUCAGGGUAGGCCAGUGGCUAAGUGGCCCCUGAGGAUGCUAUAGAAGAUUAGGAGAAUAUCCAGAUCACUUAUGACCUGCUUAUGACCCAGACCUUGCAUUCUCUGUUUUUUUUUUUUUUCUUCUUCCAUUUUAACUGAUUUUCAGUGAAAGUUUAAAGCUCAAAUUAAUUUCUUACGCAAAAAAUUAUACAUAUAUUGCUUUGUGACAUUAGCUGCAAUCCCCACAAUGUAACAGCACACUCCUCCUUUCCACCCCGGGUUCCCUGUAUCCAUUUGACCAGUUUCUAUCCCUUUCCUGCCUUCUUAUCCUGCUUUUGGACAGGAGCUGCCCACUUG